GCAUAACGCGAAGAACCUUACCCACCUUUGACAUGUACGGAACUUGCCAGAGAUGGCUUGGUGCUCGAAAGAGAGCCGUAACACAGGUGCUGCAUGGCUGUCGUCAGCUCGUGUCGUGAGAUGUUGGGUUAAGUCCCGCAACGAGCGCAACCCUUGUCAUUAGUUGCUACAUUUAGUUGGGCACUCUAAUGAGACUGCCGGUGACAAACCGGAGGAAGGUGGGGAUGACGUCAAGUCCUCAUGGCCCUUAUAGGUGGGGCUACACACGUCAUACAAUGGCCGGUACAAAGGGUUGCCAACCCGCGAGGGGGAGCUAAUCCCAUAAAGCCGGUCGUAGUCCGGAUCGCAGUCUGCAACUCGACUGCGUGAAGUCGGAAUCGCUAGUAAUCGCGAAUCAGAAUGUCGCGGUGAAUACGUUCCCGGGUCUUGUACACACCG
rnacentral:rRNA from 1 species